rnacentral:rRNA from 1 species
CAGGGAUUGCCUUAGUAGCGGCGAGUGAAGCGGCAAAAGCUCAAAUUUGAAAUCUGGCACUUUCAGUGUCCGAGUUGUAAUUUGAAGAAGGUAUCUUUGGGUCUGGCUCUUGUCUAUGUUUCUUGGAACAGAACGUCACAGAGGGUGAGAAUCCCGUGCGAUGAGAUGUCCCAGACCUAUGUAAAGUUCCUUCGAAGAGUCGAGUUGUUUGGGAAUGCAGCUCUAAGUGGGUGGUAAAUUCCAUCUAAAGCUAAAUAUUGGCGAGAGACCGAUAGCGAACAAGUACAGUGAUGGAAAGAUGAAAAGAACUUUGAAAAGAGAGUGAAAAAGUACGUGAAAUUGUUGAAAGGGAAGGGCUUGAGAUCAGACUUGGUAUUUUGUAUGUUACUCUCUCGGGGGUGGCCUCUACAGUUUACCGGGCCAGCAUCAGUUUGAGCGGUAGGAUAAGUGCAAAGAAAUGUGGCACUGCUUCGGUAGUGUGUUAUAGUCUUUGUCGAUACUGCCAGCUUAGACUGAGGACUGCGGCUUCGGCCUAGGAUGUUGGCAUAAUGAUCUUAAGUCGCCCGUCUUGA